GUCAGCAAAGAAAAUAGUGCAUAGCCCUGGGCUUCAUAUCGUGCAUUUGACCACGAUCAUAUUUGGUGUGAGGCCAGGAGGAAAAAAGAUAUUUGGCAGAUUUGUCUGAAUGGCUCUCAGGGAGGAUUCUUACCAGAAAAAGACUCUGUCAAGUUCCUGGUAAUCUGAUUUGUUGAACUAUGGAAUCCUUUUACCAAAAGAAGAGUGGUGACAACUAGUCUCAUCUGGUAUUCUCCAAGUUCCCAGUAAGUACUAUCAGUAUUAUUCAGGUGUGCAUAAAAUUACUUUG
rnacentral:lncRNA from 1 species